rnacentral:piRNA from 1 species
CAACACCAGCACUUCACGUGACAGCCA